UGGGGUUAUGGGACCAAAUACAAGCUGGAUGUCGUCACUGGGGUUAUGGGACCAAAUACAAGCUGGAUGUCGUCACUGGGGUUAUGGGACCAAAUACAAGCUGGAUGUCGUCACUGGGGUUAUGGGACCAAAUACAAGCUGGAUGUCGUCACUGGGGUUAUGGGACCAAAUACAAGCUAGAUGUCGUCACUGGGGUUAUGGGACCAAAUACAAGCUGGAUGUCGUCACUGGGGUUAUGGGACCAAAUACAAGCUGGAUGUCGUCACUGGGGUUAUGGGACCAAAUACAAGCUGGAUGUCGUCACUGGGGUUAUGGGACCAAAUACAAGCUGGAUGUCGUCACUGGGGUUAUGGGACCAAAUACAAGCUGGAUGUCGUCACUGGGGUUAUGGGACCAAAUACAAGCUGGAUGUCGUCACUGGGGUUAUGGGACCAAAUACAAGCUGGAUGUCGUCACUGGGGUUAUGGGACCAAAUACAAGCUGGAUGUCGUCACUGGGGUUAUGGGACCAAAUACAAGCUGGAUGUCGUCACUGGGGUUAUGGGACCAAAUACAAGCUGGAUGUCGUCACUGGGGUUAUGGGACCAAAUACAAGCUGGAUGUCGUCACUGGGGUUAUGGGACCAAAUACAAGCUGGAUGUCGUCACUGGGGUUAUGGGACCAAAUACAAGCUGGAUGUCGUCACUGGGGUUAUGGGACCAAAUACAAGCUGGAUGUCGUCACUGGGGUUAUGGGACCAAAUACAAGCUGGAUGUCGUCACUGGGGUUAUGGGACCAAAUACAAGCUGGAUGUCGUCACUGGGUUAUGGGACCAAAUACAAGCUGGAUGUCGUCACUGGGGUUAUGGGACCAAAUACAAGCUGGAUGUCGUCACUGGGGUUAUGGGACCAAAUACAAGCUAGAUGUCGUCACUGGGGUUAUGGGACCAAAUACAAGCUGGAUGUCGUCACUGGGGUUAUGGGACCAAAUACAAGCUGGAUGUCGUCACUGGGGUUAUGGGACCAAAUACAAGCUGGAUGUCGUCACUGGGGUUAUGGGACCAAAUACAAGCUGGAUGUCGUCACUGGGGUUAUGGGACCAAAUACAAGCUGGAUGUCGUCACUAGGGUUAUGGGAC
rnacentral:lncRNA from 1 species